AUGACAAGCACUUUGAAAAGAGGGUGAAAAGAGCCUGAAACCGUCAUGGGGGAAGCGGAUUGCGUUGUAUUGAUGGGUUGCCGUGUGUUCAGCCGUUUUGGUGUAUUGGCACGGUAGCUUAUCUGUCGUGGGUUUCAGAUGGCUGAUUUUGAGCUGUUUGGGGCUGAGGGCUCCCCGUUUGGGUGAGGACGACAGAGUGAUGACGCGAUACGACCCGUCUUGAAACACGGACCAAGGAGUCUAGCGCGGUUGCGAGUCGAAGGGUGCAAGCCUGAAGGCGUAGUGAAAGCGAGUUGAAAACGAGCAGUUUGGGGCGGCAUAGGAUCGUUGAUUCUAAGUCUGACCUUGAGCAAUUGCGCUGGGACCCGAAAGAUGGUGAACUAUGCCGGAGUAGGGCAAAGCCAGAGGAAACUCUGGUGGAGGCUCGUAGCGGUGCUGACGUGCAAAUCGCUCGUCGAACUUGGGUAUAGGGGCGAAAGACUAAUCGAACCAUCUAGUAGCUGGUUCCCUCCGAAGUUUCUCUCAGGAUAGCGGGCCGACAUGUGUUGUUUUGUGCGGUAAAGCGUGGAUUUUUAGGA
rnacentral:rRNA from 1 species